rnacentral:rRNA from 1 species
UACGUAGGGGGCAAGCGUUGUCCGGAUUUAUUGGGCGUAAAGAGCGUGUAGGCGGCCUGAAAGGUCAGCUGUGAAAACUCGAGGCUCAACCUCGAGACGUCGGUUGAAACCAUCUGGCUAGAGUCCGGAAGAGGAGUGUGGAAUUCCCGGUGUAGCGGUGAAAUGCGCAGAUAUCGGGAAGAACACGCGUGGCGAAGGCGGCACUCUGGGACGGUACUGACGCUGAGACGCGAAAGCGUGGGGAGCGAACAGG